UGUUUCAUUGCUGAAGUGACCUCUACUGAACUGUAAUGAGGAAAAAAGGCUUCCUUGUCAGGUCUGAGAAGACU
rnacentral:snoRNA from 11 species